rnacentral:rRNA from 1 species
CCUACGGGGGGCAGCAGUGGGGAAUAUUGCGCAAUGGGGGAAACCCUGAUGCAGCGACGCCGCGUGAGUGAAGAAGUAUCUCGGUACGUAAAGCUCUAUCAGCAGGGAAGAAAAUGACGGUAGCUGACUAAGAAGCCCCGGCUAACUACGUGCCAGCAGCCGCGGUAAUACGUCGGGGGCAAGCGUUCUCCGGAUUUACUGGGUGUAAAGGGAGCGGAGACGGCAGCACAAGUCUGGAGUGAAAUCCCGGGGCUGAACCCCGGAACUGCUUUGGAAACUGUGCGGCUGGAGUGCAGGAGGGGUAAGCGGAAUUCCUAGUGUAGCGGUGAAAUGCGUAGAUAUUAGGAGGAACACCAGUGGCGAAGGCGGCUUACUGGAAUGUAACUGACGUUGAGGCGCGAAAGCGUGGGGAGCAAACAGGAUUAGAUACCCCUGUAGUC